AUCCAGCUCACGAGUCCCAAAUAGGACUAAACGCGCGUCAAACUGGAU
rnacentral:hammerhead_ribozyme from 1 species